GCUGGAGUAGCUCAGUUGGUUAGAGCAUGUGGCUGUUAACCAAAAGGUUGGAGGUUCGACCACUCCCUCUAGCG